rnacentral:rRNA from 1 species
AGAGUUUGAUCAUGGCUCAGGAUGAACGCUAGCGGCAGGCCUAAUACAUGCAAGUCGAACGGUAACAUUGGUGCUUGCACCAGAUGACGAGUGGCGCACGGGUGCGUAACGCGUAUGCAAUCUACCUUUUACUAGAGUAUAGCCCAGAGAAAUUUGGAUUAAUCCUCUAUAAUAUCUUUUAAUUUCAUGAUUUUAAGAUUAAAGUUUUAACGGUAAAAGAUGAGCAUGCGUCCUAUUAGUUUGUAGGUGAGGUAACGGCUCACCUAGACUACGAUAGGUAGGGGCCCUGAGAGGGGGAUCCCCCACACUGGUACUGAGACACGGACCAGACUCCUACGGGAGGCAGCAGUAAGGAAUAUUGGACAAUGGACGAAAGUCUGAUCCAGCCAUGCCGCGUGCAGGAUGAAAGCCCUACGGGUUGUAAACUGCUUUUAUACAGGAAGAAACACUCCGACGUGUCGGAGCUGGACGUACU